rnacentral:rRNA from 1 species
AGCCCAGAGCCUGAAUCAGUGUGUGUGUUAGUGGAAGCGUCUGGAAAGGCGUGCGAUACAGGGUGACAGCCCCGUACACAAAAAUGCACAUAUUGUGAGCUCGAUGAGUAGGGCGGGACACGUGGUAUCCUGUCUGAAUAUGGGGGGACCAUCCUCCAAGGCUAAAUACUCCUGACUGACCGAUAGUGAACCAGUACCGUGAGGGAAAGGCGAAAAGAAC